rnacentral:rRNA from 1 species
UACGGAGGGGGCUAGCGUUGUUCGGAAUUACUGGGCGUAAAGCGCACGUAGGCGGCUUUGUAAGUUAGAGGUGAAAGCCCGGGGCUCAACUCCGGAACUGCCUUUAAGACUGCAUCGCUUGAAUCCAGGAGAGGUGAGUGGAAUUCCGAGUGUAGAGGUGAAAUUCGUAGAUAUUCGGAAGAACACCAGUGGCGAAGGCGACUGACUGGACAUGUAUUGACGCUGAGGUGCGAAAGCGUGGGGAGCAAACAGG